UGCUGCCGCGUUCCAUCAUGUUGCCUCAUAGCUCCGAUGUGCACUUGCUUUAAGCGCCUCGUGCAAAAGAGCCAUCGAUCCUGGAGCUCAUACUGCUUGCGCCUACGAAGACAAUGUCGACUGUAUCGAAGGUCGAGUAUAGGAGAAGAAGUAGCAUUCUUAUAAUUUCUUCCACUGACGUCUGUCAGUGACAGCGACAGAAGCCACAACAGCAACUGUGGAUCUUAAGAGAAAUCUACACUUAUAGCAAAAAAAAAAGAAAGGACAGCAGCAGCACGAACUUUUCAGGAAUGACGCAGCGCCACUGAAACGAAAGAGCGCACUCAAAGCUCAGUGAAGAUACAAAGAGAGAGAGGAGGUUCCAUAGCUUAGCCGAAAAAAAAAUCUACAGCUCUUCUGCAGGGUAAAAUAGUAAUAGAGAGAAAAAAAAGAAGGCUGGCGUGUUAACAAGAAAGCUGCCUGGCCGGCUACCUUACGCUAGCGAAAGGAAACAGGGGAAUAUAAUUGUAAAAUUUGUUUGGUUUUAAACAGUAUAGGGCAAAUACGGCAAACCAUUGAAAGUUAUGCAGUAUCCUCGACUAAACUUGCCGUAUUUGCAACUGGGCUUUCAUGCGUUGGACGGCGACACUGGCACAGGUGGAGCGAAUUUCCUAUCAAAUAUCUCAAACUUUAUUUCUCUCACUUAGAGCCGCAGCAUUCACUAUACUCCGUUCCAUACAUAGCAGUCAACGCUGUGGAGGCUAGAGAGACAUCUUGCAGUGGCUUCGUUCGCACUUGGAUAUAGUUCGAUGUUUUUUGACGGUAAUUGUGCGCAACUGAUUUUUGUAUAGGCUAAGUAUUGAAUGAAUUAAGUUUUAAUCCUUAGAAACAUGCAUACUGUGGUAUAUGGCUGCUAAUUCGUUGUUCUAGAUCAUUUUUGUUUCUGUUUUUUUUUUUCAGGUUCUUUUAUUUGCAACCCGUCGCGAGGAGCCCCACGUGCAUGCUCGCGCGAGCGAACGCUGUUGGCGAGCAGCGAAGCACGGACGGAACGCGCGAAGGGAUAACUUUUCUUGACCGGACUUGCGUACCUUCCACAACGUUGACUGCUAUGUAUGGAACGGAGUAUACACUGCCGUUAACGAGACCAUGGCAAUCAACCGAGCAGCCCAUGAAGAUCUGACACUCCGAGCAGGUCCUUCAAAAUCUUUCAAACAUUCUUGAAAGGUUUGCGCUGCAAUCCGACAGACGAAGAUGCUGAAGAUAAUGUAAAAUAAAAAUGGACUGUUCUUGUU